UUUGUCUUUAUUCAUUAUGCUCAUAAGUUGGUGUGUGCCAUAAGUUUCAGAACUUAGGAUUUUCUUCAAUUGUUGCAAAAUUCUCCAUAGCUACCUCUUUAAAGUGCUUCACAGUUUUCCCUCUGUCUCUUAAUUCUGAAAAUCCAUUUAUAUCCAAGAGGUUCCCUCCCUCUAUCCCUCCCUCAACUCUUCAUGCUGCACUGGAAUCAUUUCCUCAGUACUGUCUUCCACAUUACCAAUUUCCUCUUUACCCAUGGGAACUCUUAAUUGCAUCUGAAGAGUUUUGAAAUUUCCAUUACAUUAUUUCUACCUUCUAGUUUCUAACUGAUUAUAUUAUUAGUAACUUUUCUCAGUUUCUAGGUAUAUCUUUUGGUUUAAUGCUGUUUUGUUUAAAAGGAUAUUUUCUCUUACUUUACGCUUUAUUUUUUGCUUUUAUUUAAUAAAUAUAAAUUUUAUAGGUACAGCUUUUGGAUUAUAGCGAUUCUUCCCCCCAUAACCACUCUCCUACCCACAAACCAUCCCAUCUCCUAUUCCCUCUUCCAUCCCAUUCUUCAUUAAAAUUCAUUUUUAAUUAUCUUUAUAUACAGAAGGUCAACUUAGUAUAUACUAAGUAAAGAUUUUGACAGUUUGCAUCCUGUCAGACACAUAAAGUAUAAAGUACUGUUUGAAGACUAGUUUUACCAUUAAUUCGCAGUAACUCAUUAAGGACAGAGGUCCCACAUCUUUAAACAUUUGAAGGUUUUCUGAGAUUCUUGUAUGCAUCUUGUUCAAGAGUCAGAUCAUCCUGAUUGUUGAUGUUGUUGUUGGAUAUCUUUUUGUUUUGUUUUGUUUUUACUGUUUUUUUUUUUUCAAAGAUUUAUUUUGUUGAUUUGGAAGACAGAGUUACAGAGAGAGGUAGAGACAGGGAGAAGGGUCUUCCAUCAGCUGGUUCACUCCCCAGAUGGCCACAACAGCCGGAGCUGUGCCGAUCUGAAGUCAGGAGCCAGGAGCUUCCUCUGGGUCUCCCAUGUGAGUGCCAGGGCCCAUGCACUUGGGCCAUCCUCCACUGCCUUCCUGGGCCACAGCAGAGAGCUGGACUGGAAGAGGAGCAGCUGAGACUAGAACUGGUGCCCAUAUGGGAGGCCGGUGCUUCAGGCCAGGGCUUUAGCCUGCUGUGCCACAGCGCCAGCCCCUCUUACUGGUUUUGAAUUUCAGGUUGUGACUUGUAGAGUGAAAAUUGUCUUCAGAAAAUUUAACUAUCUAGCAUGCUUCUGCAGAUUUGUGGUAGCUUCCAGGUGACUGAGCAUCUUAGGCCAGAAAUAGGUUCUGCAUUACUGGAUGGGAUUGCUGUCCUGGUGCACCAUGAGAUACCUGCAGAUCCAGCACUCAGGAGCUUGUCACAGGUCUGAUCUGUGUGCCUUUCUCUGUUCUUUCUGUCUCACAUGUCCGUAGUGACAGAAUCCACAGCCCAGUGCAUUCUCGGUUCUUUUUCUCCAAGGUUGGAAAACCGUACCAGCUGGACACUUCAUUUUAUGGAUCUGGUUUGUGACCAUGACUCAGCAUUCAAUCCUUGAUAGAACUUCUUGUUGUCUUUGUCCGUUUCUAACCUGCAGUUCAUCAUAGUUCUAGCAUUUUUUCCCUCCUGUCUACUUCAUUGCUUUUCUGGUAUUCAUGGAUAACUUGCCUUGGCUAUGGAAAUGCCUGUUAAGUUUUGAAAUUUCAGCUAGAAUUCCAUUUUGUGGUCCAACAAGGAAGAGGUAUUGAGUACAUCAGUUCAUAGUGCCAUUUUAGACUGAAAUCUUUUAUUUUAAAGAGUUAAUUUUGAUUGUAAAUGAAUACAUGCUCAUUACCAUAGGCUUGGAAAUUGUUGAAAACAUAAUGAAAAUAUUUAACCAAAAAUACAACUAUACAAAAAUAAUUACGGUUAACCUAUCAAUGUGUUAUCUGAAUUUUGGUUUUUCACUAAAUAGGAUUUACACUAUAUGAGUAUACUGAGUUUUAUAUCCUUCUCCUUUAUAACAGACAUUAUAGGGUGGAUUUACCAUGCCAUUAAAUAAUCUUCAGAAGCAAUUUUUUUAAAUAGCUCCUUAAUGUCCUAACAUAUGGAGGUACUAUAAAAACAUAAAUCACUCAAAUUUUUUAAUAUCUCUCUUAGCAUAAAUUAACAUGUAAUUACUGAGUAAAAGGCUAUGAAUAUUUUUAAGGCACUUGAUACACAAUGAGACAUUUCUAUCCAAAUAUGGUAUUUCCAAUUUAUAUGCCAACAGUAGCAUAACCAUUCUCUAGCCAGCACUAAGUGAUUUCUCCAACCAUCCCAGUUGGAUAGAUGAAGAAAUACCAUUUAUAUGUUUGUGCUGUUGGAACUACUUGUAUCUGUUCUGUUAUUCCUUAAUUUAUAAUGUUUAAAUUCUGUUUUUACCUCUUAAUAAAAUUCUAGGCCCCUCUCUUUGUCAUUUGCUUAGAGAAUAGUUUUAGUAUCUUUUUUUGUUUUUCAUAAUUUUGUUUGUAUAUAUUUUCCCAUCUUCAGCCCUUUGUUCUGCAUAUUUCUUUAUUUUAUGGCUCCUUAGGCUGAUUGCUUAAUUAAUUUUAAUUUUCUCCAUCUAUUCACAGCCUUGCAUGCUGUAUUACUGUUUUGUCCAUAUUCUGUAAGCUUACACAUGAAUAUACUUCUCAUCAUUAUUUCUGAAGUGGGUUGUAAUUGAUUUUCAUUUACUCUUUUAAUAGGGAAUUUCAGUUUUUGCUUAAAUUUUUGAUACUAGUUUUAUUUCAUUGAAGUUUCAGAGUACAGUUUUCUUUCAAAAAUGUUAUCAAGUAUACUGAAUGGAUUGACAAAUUUUGAAAUGCCUCAUGGGCAUUUAAAAAGAACCUGUAUUUCUUCUUGAAGAUUUUAAGGACAUACAUGUAUAUGUUAGUUUAUGUACUUUUUCACAUAAAUACAGUUUUCAUUUCUUUUAAAAUUUGUUUAAUCUCUUAGGAGCCGAGAAUGGUCUGCUGUUUCUCAAUUCAUUAUUUCUGGUUUUCUUGCUGUGUAUAUUCUGGUGUGUGAUGAUUAUGUCAUCCCUGACAUAGAAAAGUUAUCUCUCUUAUAUGUCUUCAUUGCAGUGAUUCCUUUUAUCAGCACAAAAUUCUAUCUUCUGAGGUUAUUGCUUUCUGCCACGCGUGUUAUUGCUUGUCGCUCCCCCUCUUCGUGGAGGAACGACACAGGACCCUGCACUGUUCUUUUGUCUGCUCGGCCCUCCCCGGGUUUGCUGCUGGUUCUUCCCGGGUUGGCUACCGACCCUUCCACCUCCGUGGAAGGGCGGUUCCCCCUGCCACUUUCCCCACUUCCGCGGGGGAGCGGCACACCGCCGGCCGGCUCUCUCGGGGGCUGCUCAGGUGUUCCUUCAGAUGGAUGUUCCUGGUGCAUGUUGUCUCUCUCCUCCUUUAUAGUCCUCUUCCACCAAUCCCAACUCUGCUACCCACACGCCGAGUAUGCUGCUCUCCUCCAAUCAGGAGCAGGAUCAGCUCCUGCAGGUCAUCACUCAAGUUGGCGAGAGGCAGCUGUGUAGAAGUUGUUACUCCCUUCUCAGCGCCAUAUUGUGGGAAAGCAGAUGCAUAGAAUAAGUCUUAAUUCCAGUAACAGUCUAGUCCGAGUUGCUCCCCACAAUUGCUGUUACUGCUUUGUACGACACUUUGUCCUGUAUCAUUAUUUCAAUUUUAACAAUAUUUUAUGUUUUUAAAAGUAUUAUUGACAAUUUGGAUAUAUUUGAUUUUCUAAUAUGAAUUACUGGAAAAAUUCACAGCAUUUCCAUUUAAGGCCAAAACACAUAUUUAGACUUAAUUUGAUCGCCUUGUAUAAUGCUAUUCUUUUUGUUUCAUUCUAAACUUUGUUCAGUCCUAUGUGAAAGCAUGUAAAAUAGAACUUUUAAAAUCAAGUUUACUAGUGAUAAUCCAUUUGUUUAUCAAAUGCGUAUUAAAACUGUAUUCCUCUAUAAAAUUGAAGAACAUGUUCCUAAUGAGAAAUUUUAAUUAUCUGGGUUUACUCUGACUUUUCAUUUUUCUGUAUUAAUCAGUUGUAAUGUUUUUUAAUCUGGCAUUAUGGUGUUAACUUUUUAUGAUAAAGUUGUGAUUUUUUUUGUCAUAGACAGCCUUUGGAUUUACUUUGUACCCAUUUUACAAUUCUUCGUUUUUGAUCCUAAGAAAUUAAUUGGUUUCAGAGUUCUUUUGCAGUCUUGAAUUCUUGAUUUCUUUCUUAUUACUGGUUGACAGGUAUUCAUUUUGUAUGUGUGUGCCUUCUCAGGAAAGGAAUAAGAAUCAGUAAUCUUUUAUGAUUUUAAGUUUAGCAAAAUCUCUUCAACUUCCAUAUAAAUGUUUCAGGUUACAAACUUUUCCAAUCACUCCUCUGCAAAAAUUGUUUCAUUGUUUUCUGACAUCUGCUUUUGCAAAGAAGGAUGAAGACAGUCUUAUUUUUGCUACUUUACCAGUAAUUUUUUGUUCCUCUCAAUUUUUCAGAGAAUUUUAGACUUGCCCAGUGGUCUCAAUAGAUUUCAAACAAAAUGAAAAUUCCCUAGUAUUUCUAGUCAUUGAAAAGUUUGUUUUUAUUUAAUUCCCGUGAAGCUCAAAUUUUACUUAUCAUCCUCAGAAGUGUUGCAGGAUGCUUCAAAAGUUUAUGGAAAAUGGUAUUGUGGGAAAAAAACUGAGCGUGGACUUCAAAUGUUUUUGCACCAAAAUUUGUCUUAAUUUUAUUUUUCCAUGAACUUUUGAAGUACACUCCUGGUAGACAUAUCUGUCUUUCUCUGUGGAUAUUUCUACUUAACUGAAUCUUUGAUGACGAAUCCUGCCGCUGUGCCUUCUGUCUCAGUAACACUCCUCUCCAGUUAGAUCCAAAUUGUCUUCAGUAUGAGUCAUCUUCUGGUUUUCUUUUUCCCCUUAUAUUAGAAGGUUGUCUUAAGCUCAUCUCCACUUUAUUCACGUCACUUCCGUUUUCAUUGCCUUCAGCAUGGACUUUAAUUUUUCUCACUGUGUUUGUGUGGUUUCCUCAGCUGUUUCCUAAUUAUUUGUACAUUUGUCUCUGAACAGUUUCUCCUUGGGCACUCUGAACCUGUUUCAUAGUCAGUAUUUUCUUACAUGUUUGAGGGCAGGAAAUAGAAUCUGUUCUAAAUAUUUCUUCUGUCUAAUAUAAAAAUGUAUUUUCAUAUCUAUCCUCCUUAUGUGAACCAACAGGAGAGACUUCCUUUCCUUGAUGCCACUGUUACCUUCCUUCCUAGAAUCCAAAGCAUGUGUGUGUGUGUGUGUGUGUGUGUGUGUAUGAAUGCUCAUCUUUGAAUUGCACGGACUUCUGUGCUAGCAUCAGCAUGCAUGAAGUUGGAAGUAAUGUAAAUUGAUUUGGGAAUGCCUGGGAAACCCCACUCUCUGACUCCAGUUCCUGUAUCCUUUGACCAUUGGAUUUUGAACAAACUGGGGAGUUAAAUGGAUGGGCUUCUCCGUUUUCCCUUGAACAGUGCUGCGUAUGAAGAUCAUGGUCUCUGGCAGGUGCUUCCCCAGUGCUCUGAAUGAUGUCCCUGUUUGAUUGAGGAGAUAGGCUAUAAACGGACAUGCAUGCAGAGGCAAGGUGAAGAGAUGGGAAGUCGAGAUUAGGAGUCUUUCCUUCAGAGGUCACUUACCAGAUUUGUCAUGACAGUGUCCAGGAAGUGUAUGAUGUUCUGUGAUGUGGCUCAAGUCAACUGGGUUGCCUCUGUCUGUCCUCUUAUUCAGCUUCUGCAAAUGUACAUAAAUGUAGGAAGCAUCAAAUCUGUAUGCAUAAUGUAGUCUGUAUUAAGAAACCCUGGGGUCCUAUGUCAGGGCUUCAAGACUUCAUAGCUGAUUGGAAAUGGAGUAUGGGAAAGCCAUGUGGGUUCCAGAUCUCUUAACACACACUCUUUCUCUUUAAAAAGAUUUAUUUAUUUAUUUGAAAGACAGAAAUGGAAGGAGAGCAAGCGAGAUCUUCCAUCUGCUAAUUCGCUUCCCAAAUGUCCACAACAGCUGGGGCUGGGCCAGGCUGAAGCCAGGAGACAGGAACUUCCCUCUGGGUCUCCCAGUUGGGCGCAGAGACCGAAGCACUUGGGCCAUCUUCUGCUUUCUCAGACCAUAGCAGAGAGAUGGAUCAGAAGUGGAGCAGCUGGGACUUGAACCAGCACCUAUGUUGGAUGCCAAUGUUGCAGGUGGUGGCUUAAUCAGCUCCACCACAAUGCUAGCCCCAACUCCCAUUCUUUUAAAAGGCAAAUGGUAUGACAUAUAAUUUGGCUGGUAGAGGGUCCUCAUGUUCAUAGCAGUACUAUUCAAUGCAUUAAUUCUGAUCAGGGAGUCCAAUAUGAAAACAGUGUCCUAUAAGAAGAAAGAAAGGAAAUACGGGCACAGAGACGUGCAUGCGUGUGUGUGUACUCCACAUUUGUAUAAAACCUGACACCGAGCCCUCAAAACUCAUUUCAAAAAGAAGUGUGAUUAGGGUUAAUGAAGGUUUAGGAACUUCUUAAAGUCACACAAUCACUUCGUAGCAGAGUCUGAACACAGAAUCACACAUCACAUCUCCCUGUUCAUUGUUUCUUAUUCCUGGCUCUCAUGUCAUGCCAAAUGUUUCAUUGAUAGUAAGUUAUUUUGAAACUGCGUUCAGGGACUAUCAAUGAUGUUUAGUAAGAAGGAAGAAUCACAUCUACUGUGAAUUUUCUUUUGAUUUGUUGUGCAUGAAUAGCUCUUCGGAUGAGUUGGGCACACGAUGGAGGAGAAACAUAAAGGACUGAUAGAUGGGGAGUUGGGUUAAGGAGUCUUACCUCCACUGAUGUGGUUGCUGGAUAACAGAACUGAAGUAAACAACACCCAUUCAUCAUAUCACUUCCACCAUUAGAGUGGCAGUGUCUGAGUUGCAUAUUCUUCUGUUGUUGAAUACAGAUUCCUCCAAAAGACAGAUCUUGCUCACUCUGAGGUUUCACACUUCUUUGUCCUAACUUGACUGUUCAGCUUAGAGACAAAGAAUAAGCAUUUUUAACAACUUGCGUUUCCCUUUAAAUGUAAAUAAAAGAAUUGAGAAGUUCGGAGGGUUGUGGUCUGCGUUCACUCAGCUAGAAGCAGGCUGCUGCCAUCUCCCAUGACUUUGGCUUCUCUUUGAUUUGCAUUUUCCAUUGCUUUUCCCUGGGCCAGAUGUGUGGAUUUCCCUGUUGUGCCCAAUGACAGAGUUGACUUUUCUAGAAACUGCCAAGAUUAUUUGUAAUGUGCUGGCUUCGCAGAGGUUUCUCGUAUGUUGAGAAGAACAUAGUCUGAUGUUUCACAGCAACAGGAAGAGGGUUAGAGAUGUUGAGAGAGGACAGUCUGGGAGGAGUUUUCACAUAUGUUUCUCCUUGAUGGAGAAUCCAGCAUGGGGAAUCUGGUGUGACCAGGGCCAAGUUGUAUUUCUGCAGUCAUUUUUUUUCUCUGUGGCUUGGGAGAGCAACCACAGUUAGUAGAGAGGUUUUGCUUUGAGCAUGAUUUCUUUGUCUUAUGAUGCCAAAACUGCUGAAGGUCAUGUCGUCCAGCUUCCCAUCAAAAUCAAUUGUAGACAAAAUCCGCAGGGAGACAGAUUUCUUGUAUCAAAGACACUGUCUCUUGCCAUCUCAUACUCUUUGCUACCUUUUGAAACAACAUCGAAGGCCAUCCAUAAUUGGGAAGCAUUCUAGGAGUGGGGUGAGUGAUGGUGUUAAAGGACAUCAGUCCAGCUUCUCAUGAAGUGCACCAAACCCUGGUUAAAAGUAGAAAAAAUACAGUGAUGAUAAUUGAUUGAUGUGAAAGUCCCAAUGUUUUAGAAUGCUGUUUAUCUGCAAGACCAGACCACCUAAGGUAAAUUAUGCACUCUGCUGGUUACUUAUAAGGUCUCAAGAUAGGCGAUGGACACAGGGUGGUAGAGAAUAGAAUAAAACCUUAUGCCAGCCAGGGGCUUUAGUAUAACACUCCAUUAAAAAUAUUGGUGGCCUGGGAUGGAUUCCAUAGAAGACUCCUUCACUUAGAUCAGUUAAUCAGAUAAAAGGGCUGCUUGCUAUAUAUCUAUGUGCAAGCUCAAAUCCAAGUUAUAACCUUACUGCUUUGCUAUUAUAUAAACCCCACACACCAGAUAUAUCAGUAGAAAAAGCACAAGCAUUGGAGUGUAUAGUUGAUCAUCUGAUGUGGCUGUGGUAGGGGAUAAAAAGGCAGUAACAUCUCCUGGGAUCAUUUCACCUGACUACUUGUGAGAGAAGAUAGAAGAAAAUCUCCCCAAGAGAUACAUACACCAUGGUCCUGUGGCUGUGUGAAAUAGCAGGGUGGAAAGGAAGCUGAAAGAACCACAUCAGUGUGUAUAGGCUGUUUCCACAUGUAUGUACUGUAGCGAAGAAAAGAGUUUCUACCCUGUCUACCUGACUAGCUUUGUUUCUUUUUCUGCUUAGGAGGUGGGUUGCAGCAGUCAAGAAAGGGCAUCAGUAUCCCCCCAAAAUACCGCUUGGCACAGCAUCCUUAUGCAGAAAUACUCUUCCGGUUUCUGCUUUGCUGCUGAUGUCAUCUGUAAUAAGAAACAAUUUUAAGAUACAAUCCUAACACUAUGAUUGUGUGGAUUCUAGAGUAGCGUGUGUUGAGGUCAUUUUCCCACUAUUUUUAUUUAAUGCUUGUGUGUGUGUGUGUGUGU